rnacentral:rRNA from 1 species
UAGAGUUUGAAUCCUGGCUCAGAGCGAACGCUGGCGGCAGGCCUAACACAUGCAAGUCGAACGAACUCUUCGGAGUUAGUGGCGGACGGGUGAGUAACACGUGGGAACGUGCCUUUAGGUUCGGAAUAACUCAGGGAAACUUGUGCUAAUACCGAAUGUGCCCUUCGGGGGAAAGAUUUAUCGCCUUUAGAGCGGCCCGCGUCUGAUUAGCUAGUUGGUGAGGUAAAGGCUCACCAAGGCGACGAUCAGUAGCUGGUCUGAGAGGAUGAUCAGCCACAUUGGGACUGAGACACGGCCCAAACUCCUACGGGAGGCAGCAGUGGGGAAUCUUGCGCAAUGGGCGAAAGCCUGACGCAGCCAUGCCGCGUGAAUGAUGAAGGUCUUAGGAUUGUAAAAUUCUUUCACCGGGGACGAUAAUGACGGUACCCGGAGAAGAAGCCCCGGCUAACUUCGUGCCAGCAGCCGCGGUAAUACGAAGGGGGCUAGCGUUGCUCGGAAUUACUGGGCGUAAAGGGAGCGUAGGCGGACAUUUAAGUCAGGGGUGAAAUCCCGGGGCUCAACCUCGGAAUUGCCUUUGAUACUGGGUGUCUUGAGUAUGAGAGAGGUGUGUGGAACUCCGAGUGUAGAGGUGAAAUUCGUAGAUAUUCGGAAGAACACCAGUGGCGAAGGCGACACACUGGCUCAUUACUGACGCUGAGGCUCGAAAGCGUGGGGAGCAAACAGGAUUAGAUACCCUGGUAGUCCACGCCGUAAACGAUGAUUGCUAGUUGUCGGGNUGCAUGCAUUUCGGUGACGCAGCUAACGCAUC